rnacentral:rRNA from 1 species
UACAGAGGGUGCAAGCGUUAAUCGGAAUUACUGGGCGUAAAGGGUGCGUAGGUGGUUAGAUAAGUUAAGUGUGAAAGCCCCGGGCUCAACCUGGGAAUGGCAUUUGGGACUGCAAGGCUGGAGUUUGGCAGAGGAGACUGGAAUUCCUGGUGUAGCAGUGAAAUGCGUAGAUAUCAGGAGGAAUACCGAUGGCGAAGGCAGGUCUCUGGGCUAUAACUGACGCUCAUGCACGAAAGCGUGGGGAGCAAACAGG